rnacentral:rRNA from 1 species
UACGUAGGGGGCUAGCGUUGUCCGGAUUUAUUGGGCGUAAAGAGCGUGUAGGCGGCCAGGUAGGUCUGGUGUGAAAACUCGAGGCUUAACCUCGAGAUGUCAUCGGAAACCAUCUGGCUAGAGUCCGGAAGAGGAGAGUGGAAUUCCUGGUGUAGAGGUGAAAUUCGUAGAUAUUCGCAAGAACACCAGUGGCGAAGGCGGCUCACUGGCCCGGUACUGACGCUGAGGUGCGAAAGCGUGGGGAGCAAACAGG